rnacentral:snRNA from 13 species
AACGUUGCGCAGUGGCAAUAUCGUAAUCAAUAAAGUUCUACUGAGAUGCGAUAAUUGCUAGUUGAAAACUACAACUAAAUGGUAUUAAUAACUGUAAAGUUGUAUAAAC